CAGCAGCCACGGUAAUACGUAGGGGGCGAGCGUUACCCGGAUUCACUGGGCGUAAAGGGGGUGUAGGCGGCUCGGUAAGUCGGGUGUGAAAUCCCACGGCUCAACCGUGGAAUUGCGCCCGAAACUGCCGAGCUUGGGGCCGGUAGAGGGAGACGGAACUGCCGGUGUAGGGGUGAAAUGCGUAGAUAUCGGGAGGAACACCAGUGGCGAAGGCGGCCUCCUGGCCCGCUCCUGACGCUGAGACCCGAAAGCGUGGGGAGAAAACCGGAUUAGAUCCCCGGGUAGUCCACGCCGUAAACGGUGGGCACUAGGUGUGGGGGGUUAAUCCCUCCGUGCCGAAGCUAACGCAUUAAGUGCCCCGCCUGGGGAGUACGGCCGCAAGGUUGAAACUUAAAGGAAUUGGCGGG
rnacentral:rRNA from 1 species